GGCGGACGGCUGAGUAACGCGUAGGAACGUACCCCAAAGUGAGGGAUAAGCAUUGGAAACAGUGUCUAAUACCGCAUGUGAUCUUCGGAUUAAAGCUUCGGCGCUUUGGGAACGGCCUGCGUAAGAUUAGCUUGUUGGUGAGGUAAUGGCUCACCAAGGCGACGAUCUUUAGCUGGUCUGAGAGGAUGAUCAGCCAGACUGGGACUGAGACACGGCCCAGACUCCUACGGGAGGCAGCAGUAGGGAAUUUUCCACAAUGGGCGAAAGCCUGAUGGAGCAACGCCGCGUGCAGGAUGAAGGCCUUAGGGUUGUAAACUGCUUUUAUAUGUGACGAAUAUGACGGUAGCAUAUGAAUAAGGAUCGGCUAACUCCGUGCCAGCAGCCGCGG
rnacentral:rRNA from 1 species